AUAGCUGCUCCCCAGGACAUUUAAAAGCUACCCUGCAUGACCACCCCAUUGCAAUUUAAAGAGUUAAUUGCUGGCCAAUUUGAGUGCCCUCUGAAAGGCACUGACAGUGCACUAAGGCAGUUUACAGAAUCUGGACUGCAGUGCUAAGCAAGUGGGUAAACAUUAAGCAGCUCCAAUAAUAAUGGCAAUAGAAUGAGAGGCAGUGACUUGAGAAUGAGCGUGCCACAAAUAGGUUGGCGUAAUUUCAAGUCACUAUAUUCCAGCCAUCUGGUGCUUGCACUUACAGCACCGGGCGAGUUUAAAAAGAAGCCCAUCUUAUAGAUUUCAAGACAGCUAGCCUGACUACUUGGGUUCAUUACACAAAGCUUUAGCAAAGUACUUGACAAAUUAAUUUCAGGCAAAACCAUACGGACAUAAGUAAAAUCUGUUCUUACCUACAAGCACAGUAAUAAAACCUUGCCUUCUGGAUCUGACUGCUAGUCCUAAGAGCAAGGAUCUUUACUCUUGUCUGCCUCCUUCGAUGGUCACUGAUACUCCACUCCCUCCUAGAGUGCAGAGCCUGCACCUGGCUUAUCUGUGUACACUGGACUCCACACACAAGUGUCUACUCUCUCUCAGCUGUAGAAGUGUCUGAACUCGAAGCCAUUCGUGCUAUGCUUGCUAGCAGCUCCUAGUAGCUCAACAUCUGCAUGUCUCCUGGAUCUUUAAGCUACUUAGUUCUUGGCUCCUGGAGUGCCUUCCUCUGUUGUGGUAUGCUACCAUGUCCUCAACGUUAUCAAGCCAUUGCCAAGAGUAUACUCCAUGAAUCCUGAGGUCUCUUGUCUCCCUCAAUAAGUUUAGGAUCCACCUGCUAUUGCAAACUCAGCCACAUAAAACCCAAUGGAACUAAAACUUUUUUUUUUUUGCAUUCCACAUUAAUACACUUCAUAAUCAUUCAGCUUAAGAGAUCUGUUAGAAAUAUGCCAACAUGAUUUAGAGACAGGCCUGCUUCAAACAGUUACCAUGGGGCUAAGUUGCUCUUUAUCAGAGAAUUGAGAUCACAAGUGAAUGCCUUCUGAUUUGAAAUACCAGAAAAAUAAGAACUGAGAGCUCUCAAUAACUCCCGUGAUCUGCAACGCAGCAAACGGAAGGAAACUAAAGCUAUAAUUUUAGGCAGCUGUAGGAAGCAGCAGCAGCACUCGUCUGCAUUAGAGGGCAACUGCAGAACGGAGAUUUUAUAUUCAUUUACAUUAGAAAGCUCAGGUCUUCACUGCGUUGGAGGCUCAGAACAGAAGGGGGUGCCAGUUCAGAGUUUUUAUCCCAACUACUUCAGCAGUUGGAAUUUAAACCUUUAACACAGGCAGUAAGAUUUUAAAUGUUCCUCAAAUUACAGGGCUUGUUCAUCCCACCUCAUCUCCAGCCCUCUCUUACACAUGCCAGCAAAGAUCUGAUAUUCCUAAUGAGGAGCAGUAGAAGCUUGUUUAAAUUUUGGGGCUAUCGCCUAAGGUCAGUUUCUUCCUCUGCAGUUCCCCUUUAAAACAGGCUGAGGCACUGUUAGUUACCAACCAGUUUAAAAAAGAGGGAGAUUCAGUUACAGCAGUUGGAUGUCUAUGUUUAUACACAGGUUUAAAACGGCAAUGGAAUCACACUGCAUCAGUCAGAAAAUGCCUCAGAUAUCAAGAGGCGACCGUUCGUUCAGACAACUUCUGCAGAACCCAGUCAGUGCUUAGAAGAGGCAGAGAUUAGAGUCUGAUUUCAGCAGUCUGAGAAACUGCAACUGUUUCUCAAAUACAGCUGCCAGCUUUGAGAAUCAACCCUUUUGCUGAGCACUUGUGUUAAAGAAAAAUGCAGUGCAACUUUCCCAGCACGAGGCCCAAGCCCAUCCAGUGUCACGAUUCUACCACAUUUAUGGUCCCGAUGCCACAGUCUAGCUGGUGGAAACAUUUAACAUAGGCAUCUGAGCUGGAUAGCUUUGCGAGAAACAAAAGUGCAGCUUGCUUUCAAAGUAACCCUGGAUCAACUCAGCUUUCCUUUAUCAUAACAGGUAAGAUUUCAUGGCCAACUAGACUGGUCUCCAUUAGUAUCUCCUGCCGCUUGCUGUGAAUUUGGGGUGUGGUUCUCAGCAGAGCUAGCCCCCUCCCCCCCCCCACUGCUAGAGCUGAGUUUUAAAAUUGCUCUUCCUUUUCCAAAAGUUGAAAAGGAGCUUUAGUUCCAAACUCUGCCAGCCAGUAGGAUUUGGUUAACUGGACAGAAGAUCCAUGCCAAUGAGAGUUAAUCCCCCUAACUUUGUGAGAUAGCCCAGGGACAGUUUUAUGGGAAAUUUUGGCUGGCAGGGACUAGUCCAUUACACUUCAGUUUACAGCCCUAGCUACUCAACAUCAACUGACUUUUGCUCUUGUAUAGAGCAGAAUCCUGAUAUACCUUGUCCAGGCAAGUUAAUCUUGUUUGAUGAGAAAGGAUUUACAUGGGUAUAUGCACCAUGCGAGGAAUUAGCCCCUUUUGUUUGCUGUAAGACAGUCUCUGGACCCAUCUACACUAGCAGACUUUGCAGCUGUAAUUCACCAACAGCUGCAUCUGUGGCAACUGAAGUACAGGAUACCCAAGUCCUGUCUACAAGGGUUACACAGAGGCAGCACAACUAAAUCUACAGAUUCCAUUGGUGGUUACAGCUGUGAAGUUGCUAAUACACAGCCUCUGGCAUUAAUAUUCAGGACUCAGCUCAGGAGUCCUGACAUUGCCCACAAACGACUGUUCCUGCCCAGUGACACUGCAGUGGACUAUUGCUGAGGUAUACCUGGUCUAGUUACAUGCAGGUACUGCAGCAUUCAUAUAGCUAGAAUGGCAUUCAAUUGACUUAUAUCAGACUAACUUACACAGCACAUU